rnacentral:rRNA from 1 species
AGCGAACGCUGGCGGCAGGCCCAACACAUGCAAGUCGAACGAACUCUUCGGAGUUAGUGGCGGACGGGUGAGUAACACGUGGGAACGUGCCUUUAGGUUCGGAAUAACUCAGGGAAACUUGUGCUAAUACCGAAUGUGCCCUUCGGGGGAAAGAUUUAUCGCCUUUAGAGCGGCCCGCGUCUGAUUAGCUAGUUGGUGAGGUAACGGUUCACCAAGGCGACGAUCAGUAGCUGGUCUGAGAGGAUGGCCAGCCACACUGGGACUGAGACACGGCCCAGACUCCUACGGGAGGCAGCAGUGGGGAAUCUUGCGCAAUGGGCGAAAGCCUGACGCAGCCAUGCCGCGUGAAUGAUGAAGGUCUUAGGAUUGUAAAAUUCUUUCACCGGGGACGAUAAUGACGGUACCCGGAGAAGAAGCCCCGGCUAACUUCGUGCCAGCCGCCGCGGUAA